CCAACCUGCCGAUAACUCCGGGAUAGCCUUUCGAAAGAAGGAUUAAUACCGGAUAGCAUACGAAUAUCGCAUGAUAUUUUUAUUAAAGAAUUUCGGUUAUCGAUGGGGAUGCGUUCCAUUAGUUUGUUGGCGGGGUAACGGCCCACCAAGACAACGAUGGAUAGGGGUUCUGAGAGGAAGGUCCCCCACAUUGGAACUGAGACACGGUCCAAACUCCUACGGGAGGCAGCAGUGAGGAAUAUUGGUCAAUGGGCGAGAGCCUGAACCAGCCAAGUAGCGUGAGGGAUGAAGGCUCUAUGGGUCGUAAACUUCUUUUAUAUGGGAAUAAAGUUUUCCACGUGUGGAAUUUUGUAUGUACCAUAUGAAUAAGGAUCGGCUAACUCCGUGCCAGCAGCCGCGGUAAUACGGAGGAUCCGAGCGUUAUCCGGAUUUAUUGGGUUUAAAGGGAGCGUAGGUGGAUUGUUAAGUCAGUUGUGAAAGUUUGCGGCUCAACCGUAAAAUUGCAGUUGAAACUGGGAGUCUUGAGUACAGUAGAGGUGGGCGGAAUUCGUGGUGUAGCGGUGAAAUGCUUAGAUAUCACGAAGAACUCCGAUUGCGAAGGCAGCUCACUAGACUGUCACUGAC
rnacentral:rRNA from 1 species